AAGACUGGAUACUUUGCAACACUGCUGUAAGCAUCUGACCAGAAAAAAGCAGCCUGAUACUGGUGGAAGUUUGCCAGGUUUUGGAGUGGCUGAUAAACUGUAUACGGCGCCGAUGAUUUUUCAGCAGUGAGGUUGCAGCAAAAUAUGAAAAAAGGCUUCUUAGGUUCUAGCAAUUUGGUGGCAGCCGCUGAAGUGUUGUAUAUCAGGUUUAAGCCUUCUUUGCUGCAGUUGGAAUGAUGCAAGCAGACUUACUGCACUGGAAAAUGGAGCUUGUAUUUUUAUGCAUGGAUACAGAAGGGAUCAAGAAAACUGUGUUCGUUAAAGGGUAAAGGAAUUGGUCAAGGUGGAAUCGGAAGUCGUUUUCUGAGGGGCCUAAGCAUACAGCAUCUGUGGUACAAAAAGAUUCUGAAGUCCCUGGCUUAAGUGGAAGUUUGUCCAGAGCUGACCUUAACUAAAGAUAACCUGACUUGAACACAUGCAGACCAUGUUGCAUAGCUCCAAGGUAAGGCCGGGGCCUAAUUUGUUUGAAUUCCUUAAAGGGAGGGGUUACAAAGCAGAGUGAACAAAGCUUGUAAAGCAGAAAACUCAA